rnacentral:rRNA from 1 species
AGAGUUUGAUUCGUGGCGUCAGGAGUGAACGCGUGGCGGCGUGCAUAACACAUGCAAGUCGAACGGGCGUUAAUUCGGAAGCUUGCUUUGGAUAAGUUAGUGGCGGACGGGUGAGUAACGCGUGGUAACCUGCCCUGUACAGGGGGAUAGCAGCUGGAAACGGCUGGUAAAACCGCAUAAAACGGCAAUGCCGCAUGGCAUAACCGUCAAAUAUUCAUAGGUACAGGAUGGGCCCGCGUCUGAUUAGCUAGUUGGCGGGGCAACGGCCCACCAAGGCGACGAUCAGUAGCCGGCCUGAGAGGGUGAACGGCCACAUUGGGACUGAGACACGGCCCAAACUCCUACGGGAGGCAGCAGUGGGGAAUAUUGGACAAUGGGGGGAACCCUGAUCCAGCGAACCGCCGCGUGAGUGAAGAAGUAUUUCGGUAUGUAAAGCUCUAUCAGCAGGGAAGAUGAUGACGGUACCUGACUAAGAAGCACCGGCUAAAUACGUGCCAGCCGCAGC